GAUGUUUUGCGUAUGGUAUAAAUAUAGCGUUCGAAUUCUAUUUCUCCUCGGUUUCCCGUGCACCAGGAGUGCGGCGCGGCGAGGUGCGUCCGUGAUCGUGGCGACGUCGUUGUCGUCGUACGUCCCGGUGGCAGCGGCCCAACAUGCCAAUGAUCACACAGGAUGCUGUGUAAAGUAUAAUAUAUUUAUAUCCAAAAAGGGGAUGUUGAUGUGCAAAAACUGGUUAAUUGCUUGGCUGGUUCUGGCGAAAUGCUAAUGGAUAAGUAAGGUUUUAUAGUACAUGUACAUGGUGUUUUGGAUCAGUGACUGCGACAACCGAUUGGUAAAUAAAUAGAAAAGCAGAGUGUUGAAGCCCUCAGUUAAUGCUUUGUGGCAAGAAGCGACCCUGCAACAUGUGAGAGAGUACUCUCCGCUGUCUUAGCGCUCGGGUGAACGAACUUGGCGAUUCAAUGAGUUACGGAUCUGAAUGAACGGGGCGAUGUCGAAGGCCUCGUGCUUCGCGCCAAAUGAACCUAGGGCACCCCACCGUGGGUUUUAAAUAACGCUGAAACUCGCACGAAGAAAUCAGAAGAUGACGUGAUGGAAUCCGCACGCGUUAAUUACCCCCCUUUUGAACCAUGACAAAAAUAGAAACGGACUGGUUAAAACAAACACAACAAACGAUUAGAAACUCGGAAAAUAGGAAAUGGAAUGAUUAACAAGAGAUUUACGGAUUAGCUUACCCCCAGUUGUAUAUGACAGGUCAGUAAUUACCACAAGUAUUCUGAUGCACUAGGAUCAUGGCAGACACAAAUUUAAAUUUUGUUACGGAGCAGGACGAUAGCUGGGUGUAGAGCUCGCGGUUGCCACGGUGACGACCGUGAAAGCGUAGGUCUAGGACAGCCUCCCGCCUACGUACCCUGCGAAAAGCGCCUACCACGGGGAUUCCCAUUUCAAUAAAGACGGCACCCAUGGUUGCUUAGGGUGGUUCCGUUUAAUAAUUAUUUUAACAUACUUACUACCCAUCCUAGGAACUCACGUGUCCAAACUUUAAUCAUUGUAAAAGUGGUCACCGCUGAAAUUAUGUCAUCCCCAUGAUAAUUGUGUUAUUAGAUCACUUUGCAAGGCACGGCAGAGGUGGUUGCACCAGGCGACUAAACGAAACAUGCUAAUUCCUGUAAUUAAUUUACUGGAAGAUUCUCGGUAUACGCAUCCACCUAUGUGACACCCUUUGGAUUUUUGAAAAUUCCUACAGAUCCAUUUUGGAUAAUCGUCGCUUUUAUGAUUCAAGAAUUAAACGAUGGGCAAAGAAUACAGUCUCGCAAAAUCUAGUCAAAAAGUGAUCUAAUCUCUACAGUUGUGAGAGAUACAUGUUAUGUCCGAUUAGCCUUAAUAAAAUCAUUAAAGAGUUUAGAGUUUUCUAGAAUGGAAAAAAAGAUAUGAAUAAGUGGUUUCUUCAUCAAUAAAAUAAAAAUAUAAGUGGCGAAAUAAUUAUGAAAAACCAAAUUUAAUCAUUCGCAAGUAAGUGGAAAUGAUAAACAAUUUACAGUGAGUGACGGCUAACAGAUGGCUACAAGAAUUUGAAAUUCGGUUUUUAUAAAUUUCUACGGAAAAAUUAUCCCAUGAACCAGAACUGUCUUUUAAUGAAUAUGUAUCAUACCUAUUACUGUUUUAUAUUUUUAUGUAUGUUUAUAUUGCUAAUGAUAGAAAUUACCACAUAUUA